CGCUGGCGGCAUGCUUUACACAUGCAAGUCGAACGGCAGCGCGGGGGCAACCCUGGCGGCGAGUGGCGAACGGGUGAGUAAUAUAUCGGAACGUACCCAAGAGUGGGGGAUAACGUAGCGAAAGUUACGCUAAUACCGCAUACGAUCUAAGGAUGAAAGCAGGGGAUCGCAAGACCUUGUGCUCCUGGAGCGGCCGAUAUCUGAUUAGCUAGUUGAUGGGGUAAAGGCCCACCAAGGCAACGAUCAGUAGCUGGUCUGAGAGGACGACCAGCCACACUGGAACUGAGACACGGUCCAGACUCCUACGGGAGGCAGCAGUGGGGAAUUUUGGACAAUGGGGGCAACCCUGAUCCAGCAAUGCCGCGUGAGUGAAGAAGGCCUUCGGGUUGUAAAGCUCUUUUGUCAGGGAAGAAAAGGGAGUGGCUAAUAUCCAUUCCUGCUGACGGUACCUGAAGAAUAAGCACCGGCU
rnacentral:rRNA from 1 species